UACAGGGGGUGCAAGCGUUGUUCGGAAUUACUGGGCGUAAAGCGUGCGCAGGCGGUUAUGCAAGACAGAUGUGAAAUCCCCGGGCUUAACCUGGGAACCGCAUUUGUGACUGCAUAGCUGGAGUACGGCAGAGGGGGAUGGAAUUCCGCGUGUAGCAGUGAAAUGCGUAGAUAUGCGGAGGAACACCGAUGGCGAAGGCAGUCCCCUGGGCCUGUACUGACGCUCAUGCACGAAAGCGUGGGGAGCAAACAGG
rnacentral:rRNA from 1 species